rnacentral:rRNA from 1 species
UACGUAGGGUGCAGGCGUUAAUCGGAAUUACUGGGCGUAAAGCGUGCGCAGGCGGUUUGCUAAGACAGGUGUGAAAUCCCCGGGCUUAACCUGGGAACUGCGCUUGUAACUGGCAAGCUGGAGUGUGGCAGAGGGGGGUGGAAUUCCACGUGUAGCAGUGAAAUGCGUAGAGAUGUGGAGGAACACCGAUGGCGAAGGCAGCCCCCUGGGCUAACACUGACGCUCAUGCACGAAAGCGUGGGGAGCAAAC